GAUGGAUUUUCCUGCUUCAUCUGAACAGGUUGUGACUGUGUUUUGUUGUUUUCUGCAGGGAAUCCCUCUGACAUGACUGUCAUCAUCGUCAUUGUUGCAGUGGUUGUUCUUGCUCUCGUCGCCAUCGCUGUCAUUGAAUACUUCAUUUACAAAAAGAACAAAGCCAAACGCCCUCCAUCUCCUGUAAGCAACCCUGAAGUCUUGGAGGAGCUGAAUCCAAAAGCGUAAAUGACAAACACGCCACCCUGAACACAGUUUAUGGAUAACUUUUACAUUGGAUCAAGAAACAUCCUCCUCUGUAAACUGGGAAUUCAUUGAUUAUUGAUCACCUUUUAUAAACUGAUAGAAUCAGGGUUGGGAUUGAGGAGUAAAUGCUUAUUGAAUGCCUUACAAUGAAAACCAAUUUUAAAAAUUAGUUAACAAAAAAAAAUCAAAUGUUAUCAAAUAUUAACAGUGACAUUAAAUUAUUUUGAAUAUUUAGUUUCAAUUGAAAAAGUGGAAUUUCCUCUCAUUGGUAAAUUAAAUAAGGAUCAUUUAUAUUUUUUUUUCUUGAAGAGAAGUAAAACAACAAUGAAAGCAUCACAGAACUCUUCAAUAUAUAUAUAUAUAUAUAUAUAUAUACAUUCAUUCAUUCAUAGGGUCUGGUAAUAUGAUGAUAAAUAACAGAUAUUUGUCAACCCGUAAAACGUUGUCUUUACUGUUUUAAUGAGAAAGUUGUUCUUUGUUUCUCUGGUUUUAUUCGAUCACUGGCAAAACUGCAAAUCAAUCAGCAAUAUCCAAAAACAUGCUGCGUAAACUGGACACCUUCUAACUGCGGUGAAAUAUAUUGGUUUAUGUUUAAUUCACUAAAUGGCUUCUAAAUUGAAUUUCACAAAAUGUACAGCAUCAGUAAUACAACUUGAAAUUACACAAUCAAACAAUGAUAUGUCGUAUCAGUGUUGCCCACCCUAACCUCACACAAACACACACACACACACACACACACUAUAAGCAUCAACACCAUUUGUUUUCCAGUUGUGUAAAUAGUUUGCUUGUAUAUUUCUUAAACACUGAUAAGAUUUAAAGAUUUUGUUUUGAUUCAAACCAGGCCAAAUAAAUAUUAACUUAUGAUUGUGAGGUUUUCCUUAAUUAAUCAGGUGUGUGUUGUUUUUGUAAAAUAUCUAUAUUUUGAUCUGUUUUGAAACAUUAUAUGGCUAUUAGCUGAGACUUUUAAAGGGUUGUUGAAUGUUUUAGCUUCUUCUGUUGGUUUAAGUAGUUAAAUGUCAAAUGAAGUUUCUCUAUUUCAUUCCUUUUGUACUGUUAUUCUUUUAAAUAAAGUCCCAAAAAGUCCAUA